AUUGAACGCUGGCGGCAUGCCUUACACAUGCAAGUCGAACGGCAGCACGGGAGCAAUCCUGGUGGCGAGUGGCGAACGGGUGAGUAAUGUAUCGGAACGUGCCCAGUCGUGGGGGAUAACGUAGCGAAAGCUACGCUAAUACCGCAUACGAACUAUGGAUGAAAGCGGGGGAUAGCAAGACCUCGCGCGAUUGGAGCGGCCGAUAUCAGAUUAGGUAGUUGGUGGGGUAAAGGCCGACCAAGCCUGCGAUCUGUAGCUGGUCUGAGAGGACGACCAGCCACACUGGAACUGAGACACGGUCCAGACUCCUACGGGAGGCAGCAGUGGGGAAUUUUGGACAAUGGGCGCAAGCCUGAUCCAGCAAUGCCGCGUGCAGGAUGAAGGCCUUCGGGUUGUAAACUGCUUUUGUACGGAACGAAACGGCUUUUUCUAAUACAGAGAGCUAAUGACGGUACCGUAAGAAUAAGCACCGGCUAACUACGUGCCAGCCGCCGCAGUAAUAC
rnacentral:rRNA from 1 species